rnacentral:rRNA from 1 species
UACGGGGGGAGCAAGCGUUGUUCGGAUUCAUUGGGCGUAAAGGGUGCGUAGGUGGCGCGGUAAGUCGGGUGUGAAAUUUCGGAGCUUAACUCCGAAACUGCAUUCGAUACUGCCGUGCUUGAGGACUGGAGAGGAGACUGGAAUUUACGGUGUAGCGGUGAAAUGCGUAGAUAUCGUAAGGAAGACCAGUGGCGAAGGCGGGUCUCUGGACAGUUCCUGACGCUGAGGCACGAAGGUCAGGGGAGCAAACGGG